rnacentral:tRNA from 1 species
GUAGCGACUUUGAGCGGAGUCUCGGGCGCGAGCGUUGGUAAGGCUGAGGUCGUGAGUUCAAUCCUCACCGGCAGCACCA